rnacentral:lncRNA from 1 species
UUCCUGCAUUAAGUAACAACAGGUUACUUCACUUGUAUCUCUUUCCAAAAUAAACUAUGACACAAAACUGUUUGACAAUAAGGCAAUUGCCAAACUCAAAAAAGAAUCAGUUCAUGAAUCACAUUAGUCUUAGUUGUAGAACUUAUUGUUUUAAGCGGACCGUAAAACCAACAUUGAAGAAGGAUCUGUUGCUGAAAGAUCAGACACUGAUUUCUAUCUCCCUUACUAUUCAUCGAGAAGAUGGUUAAUUAGAUAAUCCGUGGAAAUUAUGAAAACAAAUAAAUUAAAGGAACCCGCGUGCCUUUCCCUGGCAAUUGCAACUCCACGGAUCGCAAAUAAAAAACUAUGUCAAAGAAUAAAACACAAUCAAGCCACGUUAAACCAGAUUGUCAGGACGUACAAGAUUCAAACAAACAUAAACUGGUUUUGGCUAUACUGCGAGAAAGCGCCCUUGUAACUCGCAAUCCAUAUAUACUAUCUAUGUAUGCAUAUAGUAUGGAUACAUGGUAUAUGCCUAUGCAUAUGCAUAAGUGUCUAUACACACAGAAUUCCCACAAAACCAAGACAAUGAAAACUCGAUAGGAGUCGGGGAGAGAAGGACAAAACAAUUUUUUCCAAUAAAAAAGAGAAGAAGACGAUGAGCUACAAAAGUUUAGUCACAAUAAAAAAUAUUCAAUGGCUAUAUUUCUAAUGAAACAAGAGAGAGAGAUAGAGAAAGAAAGAGAGAGAGAGAGAGAGAGAGAGAGAGAGAGAGAGAGAGAAAGAGAGAGAGAGACUAAUCGGGAACUAACCUUGCCAAGAGUGUGCGCGAGCGCGGCUCCGGCAACGCCGGCACCGACGAUGAUAACAUCGGUGCCGGAGGCAUUAUCCAGUGCAGCGUUUCCGACGUCGUCAGAGGGACGUGCGCUGUCGUUUUGCGUCUUCAGAAACAAAUUCCCACCCUUAACGGUCUUCUUUCCCCUGCUUUUGUCGUUGCUACUAUUGUGACGCAAAAUGUAGAUGAAAACGAGAGCAAAGAGAGAAGCGAAGAAAGUGCCGAGAAUGUACUGAUCUAUGACGACCAUCAUCUUCUCCGGCCGACUGAAUGCUUGCGAUCCAAAAGAGGAAACACAAGUCAGUCUCUGGAUCUCCGACUUCUUCUUCGCCUCUCGAGGAUGAGAAAUGCUGCCGGCUGUCAAUGGGAUUCUCGA